rnacentral:rRNA from 1 species
GUCCCUAGUUGCCAGCGAUUCGGUCGGGAACUCUAGGGAGACUGCCGGUGACAAACCGGAGGAAGGUGGGGACGACGUCAAGUCAUCAUGGCCCUUAUGGGCUGGGCUACACACGUGCUACAAUGGGGGGUACAGAGGGCCGCCAACCAGCAAUGGUGAGCCAAUCCCUUAAAGCCUCUCGUAGUCCGGAUCGGAGUCUGCAACUCGACUCCGUGAAGUCGGAAUCGCUAGUAAUCGCGAAUCAGAAUGUCGCGGUGAAUACGUUCCCGGGUCUUGUACACACCGCCCGUCACACCAU